AAAAUGCAUCUUUGCGUUUCUGCUGUUCAAAACGCAAACACUUUUUCAAUCUUAGAAAUAUUACAUUUAAGCCCAAAUUCUUUAUGGAUUGAAGAAAUAGAAAGGAAAGAAUCAAAGAAGAAGAAGAAGCCAGCGUCUGCCUAGUGAAGAAGAAGAAGGUAUAGCAGGCAGAAAUUGCGAAGAAGAAAAUAGCCAAGAAAUAAUGAGCAACGUUAAGCUCUGAUC
rnacentral:lncRNA from 1 species